rnacentral:sRNA from 2 species
GGAGCUACUAAUAUAUAUGUGCAUUUAUUGACGAGUACCCAAUGGCAGCAGUUGCACUGGACUACCGUGUCUCAAUGAGGAGGACCAAUAACUCCGUUAAGAAAAGUUGAAAUUGAUGAACUGAAGCUUGGAACGGUAGUCCAACAGGAUCGUGGUCUAACAGCCAGGAGUACUAAUCCAUGUCCAGCACGAGGCUUUACUCAAAAGGUGGCAUGUGUCCUUCAGGGCUUUGGAGUCCAAUUAUUGUACAGAUCAACGAAUUUUCAUGGUCAUCCAUGUAUCACUUCAAAUGAUGAUUUCACACUGCGGCGGAUAAGGUGCAGAACAUUCAAUAUCAAGUUACAAGGGCCAACACCACACGCAACCCCGUCAGAUAAUGCGCUGAGAGCUCCUCACUUCAUAUGUAUGUCACUCAUUCUGCGCAAGUACUACCUUUAGCUUACAUAGUACUGUUUAUGCCGUCCAACACUCAUGAACAAUGGGCAGCAGGCAAUAAUUUCACUUGUUCUCAAUAAGAGAAAUGUUAGCCUUAGCUCAAAAACCUCUUGAGACCUCCGGAAGCUGGCACAGCUGUGGGGAUUAACGCUAGACUCUCGCAUGAAUGCCUUACAGAAAAUGCCAAUUUCCAGAGGUUAAGGAAGGUUUCCCUCCACUGCAUGACUCACACAGAAUAAACACUCUUUAACUGAACACGAACCUGCUACUCAUUUUUCCCACACCAACUUCUUCUAUAGUGAUGGUAUUCUAUUAACUCAUUAUGCUCUUGUCUGAUGUUAUUUAACUAGCUCCCAACUCCCCUCAACUUCAAGUUUGACUUGGAGUCCCGAUCAAAUUGCCUCUGUUGUUUUAUAGACAUAGUUGAAGAUGAACCGAACAGGCCUAAAACUAAAUCAACUGCCGGCUGAAUUGCUUCAUCAGAUCUUUCGAGAUGUUGAAUACCAAGAUCGGAAGAGCCUUCGCUUAGUUUGCAAGAUGUUUGCAAGUGCGUGUGCUAAAUACAUGACUCGCUCCUGCACAUUAAGCACAACGCAUGACUCCUUGAGGAAAUUGAAGCACAUGGCAACACAUCCCAUCUUUUCUGCUUACAUCGAAGUCCUUGCGCUUGAUUGCUCCCUCCUGGUCCAUAUCCC